rnacentral:rRNA from 1 species
GUGGGGAAUAUUGGACAAUGGGCGAAAGCCUGAUCCAGCCAUGCCGCGUGUGUGAAGAAGGUCUUCGGAUUGUAAAGCACUUUAAGUUGGGAGGAAGGGCAGUAAGUUAAUACCUUGCUGUUUUGACGUUACCGACAGAAUAAGCACCGGCUAACUUCGUGCCAGCAGCCGCGGUAAUACGAAGGGUGCAAGCGUUAAUCGGAAUUACUGGGCGUAAAGCGCGCGUAGGUGGUUUUGUAAGUUGGAGGUGAAAUCCCCGGGCUCAACCUGGGAACUGCCUCCAAAACUGGAUGACUAGAGUACGGUAGAGGGUAGUGGAAUUUCCUGUGUAGCGGUGAAAUGCGUAGAUAUAGGAAGGAACACCAGUGGCGAAGGCGACUACCUGGACUGAUACUGACACUGAGGUGCGAAAGCGUGGGGAGCAAACAGGAUUAGAAACCCUAGUAGUCC